CUCUACCCUUCUGUCCAUCCCCAUCUUUAUAAUCUGAUAGGAAAAAGCAUCCUAGCAAGCUACAUACAACGAAAUCACCAAUCUGAUAUGAACAAAGCAUCCUAGCUAUUAAGCCCCAUACAAGGAAAGGAAAAUGGCCGACGCUGUCAUUAGUGCCACUAUUCAGGUUGCCUUGGAGACGGCAGUAUCUCUUGCCACUGAUAGGAUUGGUAUGUUAGUUGGGUUCAAGAAGGAUCUGGCCAGCAUGAGUCGAACUCUUACCUUUAUCAAUGCUCUCUUGGCUGAUGCUGAGGAAAGGCAACAAAACCAGGACCGGGGAGUCCAAGAAUGGUUGAAGAGUCUGGAGGAAGUUGCUUAUGAUGCUGGCAAUGUGUUGGAUGAGCUCAACUACGAAUCUCUUCGUUGCAAGGUGGAGUCCCGGAACCAACCCAAGAGCAAGGUAUGUUGCUUCUUCUCCUGCUCUAACUCCGUUGGUUUCCGUUGGAGAAUGGCUUCUAAGGUCAGGGACAUCAAGCUUAAGUUGAAUGAGAUCAAUCAAGAAGCCGAUGGAUUGGGACUGAUCGGCAGGGCAGUCAUGACAGCUGCCCUCCCUGCUGCUGCUGAUGCUGGAGACAGAAGAAAUAGGCAGACCGACUCGGUUGCUGUUCCAAUGACUGGAAGAGCCGAUGAUGAAUCAAAGAUAGUGAAGAUGCUGUUGAGCCCAUCUGAGAAGGUUGUCUCUUGUCUUCCCAUAACUGGUAUGGGAGGUCUAGGCAAAACAACUUUGGCUAAAUCGAUAUACAACAAUCACCAAAUUGAUGGGCACUUUCAGAAAAAGUUGUGGGUUUGCGUAUCAAAAAAAGUUCCAGUAGUGGAACUUUUCAAACUCAUACUAGUGCAAUUGACGGGAGAAAAGGUUGAAGUGGAUGAUAGGAAUGUCAUCGUUGGAAAAAUUCAGAAUCAACUAGAGGGAAAAAGAUAUUUCCUUGUCCUUGAUGAUGUGUGGGAUGAUAAUCAGGCAUUGUGGGAUGACUUUUUCACCACCUUGAAGGGGCUCAAUCCAACUGAUGGAAGCUGGUGUCUUGUCACUACUCGUAUUGGUCAACUGGCAGAUAUUGUGUUGAAAGUUCUGAGGAUGGAUGAUGAAGCCUAUGCCUUAGGAAGGCUACCUGAUGAUCUUUGCUGGUCUAUCCUAAAAGAAAAAGUAGUUGGAGGCGGAGAAGUACCUGAUGAACUAAAAGCAAUUAAAGAGAGAGUAAUCAAAAGAUGUGAUGGUCUACCAUUGGCAGCAAGUGUAAUUGGAGGUCUAUUAUCUUUAAAGAGAAAAGAGGAGUGGCAAUCAAUUUUGGAGAAUAGGCUUUCAAGUUUGAGUGGAGAUGAAGAUCGUGUCAUGCAAAUACUUAAGUUGAGUUUCGAUAAUUUGCCAUCUCCAUACAUUAAGAAAUGUUUUGCAUAUUGUUCUAUAUUUCCUAAGGAUACUGAGAUGGAAGGAGAUAUGCUAAUCGAGCUUUGGAUGGCAGAAGGUUUCCUCCAAGCAGACAUCAACAGCCAAAUGAUGAUGGAGGAAAAUGUAAUUAAUUAUCUGAGAAUUUUAUUGCAGAGUUCAUUGUUUGAAGAAAUAAUUGAUGAGUCAGAAACAUCAACAUCUUAUAAGAUGCAUGAUCUGGUGCACGACCUUGCCGAGUUAAUGUCAAAGUCUACCAAAGUCAUUAUUGAUAGGGAUACGAGUAUAGUAGGCAAUGGUAAUCAGAUUCGUUACCUUGCAACAGACUUAUUUGGUGGUGGAGAAGACAGAGAAAAACUUUUGGAGAGUCUAUCAACUUCGCUUCAUACAUUGUUUGUAAAAGGUUACUUAUCUGGUGAUAUGUUAAUGAAGUUGAAGAACUUGUAUGUUUUGAAUUUGUCUCAUACAAGAACUCGAGAGCUACCAGUCUCAAUUGGCAAACUGAUACAUUUGCGGUACAUUAACCUUAAGUGGUCUGCAAUCAGUAUUUUGCCAGACUCCCUUUGCAAGCUUUAUAAUCUGCAGACAUUGACGCUAAGUCACUCAGAUGUUGACCGUCUUCCGGAGAGGAUGUGCAAUUUGAUUAGUUUGAGACAUCUCCACUAUUACACAUUUGAUGAAACAUUUCAAAUGCCGCUAGAGAUGGGACGGCUGACUUGCCUUCGGACGCUAGAGUUCUUUAACGUGGGUCGAGAGAAGGGUCGGCGAAUUGGAGAGCUUGGAAGCUUGAAGAACCUCAAAGGCAAAUUGGAGAUACGCAAUCUGGAACUAGUAACGGAUAAGAAAGGAGCUGAGGAAGCAAAACUAUCUGAAAAGGCAAAUCUAUUUAGGCUGGAACUUGAGUGGGCAGAUGAUCGAGAAGGCGACAAUUACAACGACGAAGAUGUGUUAGACAGCCUUCGACCCCACCCAAAUUUGGAGGAGUUGGUAAUUUGGAAUUUUAUGGGCGAUCAAUUUCCUCGAUGGUUAAUGGAUUUGCCAACAACAACAACAAUCCCCAAGUUAGCAACAACACUCCCCAAGUUAGCGCGUUUGGAAUUUAAUUGCUGCAACAGAUGCAGAGAACUCCAUCCCCUACAAAACUUUACGUCUCUUAAAGAGCUGGAGAUUUAUAAGUGUGAUGGGUUAACGAAUCUGCCCGGUGACAUUCUACACUCUUGUGCCUCUCUCCAGAAGCUUGAGGUGAGUGGGUGCGACAAUCUUAUCUCCUUUCCGCCUGAUUUGCAACAAACGCCUUCUCUCUCGGAGCUGAAAUUAUUGGGGUGUCCCAAACUGAAAACAAGCAUGACGCCCAAAGGAUUUGGUUUCCUAACUAGCUUAAGGGAGCUUGAAAUUGGUCCCUUCUCAGAUGAUGGUGAUGAUCAUGAAAAUUCUUCAAUUUACAAUGAGUUUGAUUGGUCUGGAUUGAUAUCCUCCUCCUCCUCCUCUUCGUCAUGCGCACUCCGUCGAUUAGUAUUAUAUGGGUUGCCACACAUGGAGUCACUGCCACCUCAGAUCCAAUACUUGACCACUCUCACGUCACUAACGCUACGUGGCUUUGGAGGUAUAAAAGCUCUGCCAGAUUGGUUCGGAAACUUCGCUACUCUUGAAGCGCUGCGGUUAACUGGUUUCAAAGGGCUUGGACAUCUACCCUCUGAGGAUGCCAUGAGAAGUCUCACCAAACUAAAACGUCUGCAGGUCCAUGGUUCUCCUCUGUUAAAAGAAAGAUGCACUCCUGGGAGCAGCGGCCCCGACUCCCAGUGGUCCAAAGUUUCUCACAUUCAAGACCUAGACAUAACCGAUGAUUAACCAACUUUCAUCUUCAGAUCAAAUUCAAUCACGAUUGAUAGAAGAAUAGCUUCACGAACAGAGACAAUGGUCAAUUAUUGAGGAGUUUUCGCAACUGUUGGUCAUCACUUUCAUGUUUGGGUUCAAAAAUUCUGAAGAAAUCUUGUUGUCAUGAAGAUAUUUUUGAGGUAGCAAAGGAAGGUUUGUACUGUUUGAGCAAUGAAGUUGCACAAAACUUGGUGGAGUAUCUUCCAACUGAACAACUCUAUGUGCAAUGUUCUGAAGCAUUCUGGUAGUUAGUCAAGUUUGCUUGUUGUGAAUUGCUUCUCUUAAUGAAUCCAUCUUGAUAGAGGCUUUUAAGCUCUCUCUGCUUUUAUGAUUGUUGGUUGCUUCCUUUUUUAAUGGUAAGUUUCUCCUUUUGGGGCUUUAGUUACAAUGACAGAAAACCUGCAAUUAUCUGAAAAUUUCCAUUUGCUUUAUUCUAUGCUAUUCGCCGGCUUGAGUUUGAAUUUUUGUGCUUUGCAGCGAUUUUAGGCCCAAAACUCAACAGGGAACCUCAUCCAUGGCUCUUACUUACUUACUGUCAGAUAAUUUUUAAUACCAAUCAUCUUCUUCCACUGCUUAAUAUUGGGUUUUAAGAAGUUUAAUAUCCAAUGAAUUAAUUAAAACCUUUAAAAAAUUGUUAUGUUUAAGACCUUCUUCAAGCAGCAGAGGCUUGGUAGACUAUCGCCUUCUGAAGUUUAUGUUCAAAUGCCAUGAUUUGAGAUUUUAAGAGUCAAAAGAGUUAUAAUUAGCUCUACGCGUUGCAUCUUGCUGUCUCAAAGAGUUUGCCUUCAUGGCAAUUCAGGAGCUCUCUGCCUUUCACGCUUGUAGGUGCUACUCUUUUUUCAGUGUUUUGAACCAAAACUAAUAUAGUUUCUAUGGCACUUCUGGUACUUGUAGACUGAGCAGAAAAAUUUGAUAUAUUCUUACUGAUUUAGGUUAGAAAAGCGCAACAGAAACAAAUAUUGAUUUGGCUUUCUGAAUAAUUGACUAAAAAAAAUGUCAUGCAAUUUCCAGUUAGCCUUAUGAUUUGCUAUGUGAAGUCCUGAAUCUGAGUUUUCUGUUUUGCAGUGACUGUAGGCUUAAAGCUCAGUCGGGGAACAACAGAGUAGGUUCUUUAAUUACUGCCUUCACUUUUGAAAAUCCUCUCUUUCCUUGAGAGUAUAUCAACUGAUAAUUGAAGUAACAACAGACCAUAAAGACUUCAGAAGUUUCCAAAGCUGUUGGUUGUCAAACUGAUUUUUGGUUCUAAGAGUCCGGUAAGAUGUUUUUUGGAGCAGCGACAGAAGAUGUCUGUUCAUGCAAAAAAGCUGCACGGACUUGUUAGAGUAUCUUCUAACACAAUCAAGUCUAAGCUGCAAGUUUUGAAGCAUAUCGCCGCAGUUAGUCAAGACUGUCAAGCAUACUUGCUGCCCGCUGCUACUUGCUGCAAUUGUUUCAUCCGCUGUGAUGAAGGCUAUUAAGCUCAUCCCACCUUCUAUACUUGUUGGUUGCUCCUCUCGUCAUGAUCCUGUUUCAAUCAGAUCAAAUGAAAACAUCCAGGAUGGAGUCUCUUUUGCUCUCUGCCUUGGACGGCCAAAGCCUGAGAUCUUCCUUGUCGGCUGGUGAUUUUAAACUGUCCAACCGAUUCAGCAAUUUGUAAACAUGUUAAUGAGGUGCUCUUUUACUUCUUUUGGAACUCAAUUUGCCAUAUCUUCCGUGCUGCUUGUAGUUCAAAGUAGCCAGUAUUUUGCAGCAGAAAGAUGUGGAUUAGCUGAACCCUGAUAGCUGCUUGCAUCCUUCUUGAAGUUGUAUCUUAGCUCUACAACAGUCAACAUAUUUUUUUCUCAGUGUUUUGCAGUUGACUA